rnacentral:rRNA from 1 species
CAGCCGCCGCGGUAAUCCGUAGGUGGCAAGCGUUGUCCGGAAUUAUUGGGCGUAAAGGGCUCGCAGGCGGUUUCUUAAGUCUGAUGUGAAAGCCCCCGGCUCAACCGGGGAGGGUCAUUGGAAACUGGGAAACUUGAGUGCAGAAGAGGAGAGUGGAAUUCCACGUGUAGCGGUGAAAUGCGUAGAGAUGUGGAGGAACACCAGUGGCGAAGGCGACACUCUGGUCUGUAACUGACGCUGAGGAGCGAAAGCGUGGGGAGCGAACAGGAUUAGAUACCCCCGUAGUCCCUGUCUCUUAUAC